rnacentral:rRNA from 1 species
CCUACGGGGGGCAGCAGUGGGGAAUAUUGCACAAUGGGGGAAACCCUGAUGCAGCGACGCCGCGUGAGCGAUGAAGUAUUUCGGUAUGUAAAGCUCUAUCAGCAGGGAAGAAGAUGACGGUACCUGACUAAGAAGCCCCGGCUAACUACGUGCCAGCAGCCACGGUAAUACGUAGGGGGCAAGCGUUAUCCGGAUUUACUGGGUGUAAAGGGAGCGUAGACGGCAGCGCAAGCCAGAUGUGAAAGCCCGGGGCUCAACUCCGGGACUGCGUUUGGAACUGGGUGGCUGGAGUGUCGGAGAGGCAG